rnacentral:rRNA from 1 species
AGAACGAACGCUGGCGGCAUGCCUAACACAUGCAAGUCGAACGAGACCUUCGGGUCUAGUGGCGCACGGGUGCGUAACGCGUGGGAAUCUGCCCUUGGGUACGGAAUAACAGCGAGAAAUUGCUGCUAAUACCGUAUAAUGACUUCGGUCCAAAGAUUUAUCGCCCAGGGAUGAGCCCGCGUAGGAUUAGCUUGUUGGUGAGGUAAAAGCUCACCAAGGCGACGAUCCUUAGCUGGUCUGAGAGGAUGAUCAGCCACACUGGGACUGAGACACGGCCCAGACUCCGUACGGGAGCAGCAGGUGGGAAUAGUGGACAAGUGGGACGAAAGCCUGAUCCAGCAAGUGCCGCGUGAGUGAUGAACGGUCCGUUAGGGUUAGUAAAGUCUUCGUUUACCCGGAUGAUAAGUAGAACGAGUACCGGAAGAAUAACGCCGUACCGGACUUAACCGCCGCGACCAGCCGACGCCGACGGU